AUGUUUGAAUUCAACCAGAAAGCAAAUUUGGAAAACUCAGCAUGGCCACAGGACUGGAAAAGGUCAGUUUUCAUUCCAAUCCCAAAGAAAGGCAAUGCCAAAGAAUGCUCAAACUAUCACACAAUUGCACUCAUCUCACAUGCUAGUAAAGUAAUGCUCAGAAUUCUCCAAGCCAGGCUUCAGCAAUACGUGAACCGUGAACUUCCAGAUGUUCAAGCUGGUUUUAGAAAAGGCAGAGGAACCAGAGAUCAAAUUGCCAACAUCCUCUGGAUCAUGGAAAAAGCAAGAGAGUUCCAGAAAAACAUCUAUUUCUGCUUUAUUGACUAUGCCAAAGCCUUUGACUCUGUGGAUCACAACAAACUGUGGAAAAUCCUGAAAGAGAUGGGACUACCAGACCACCGAACCUGCCUCUUCAGAAAUCUGUAUGCAGGUCAGGAAGCAACAGUUAGAACUGGACAUGGAACAACAGACUGGUUCCAAAUAGGAAAAGGAGUACGUCAAGGCUGUAUAUUGUCACCCUGCUUAUUUAACUUCUAUGCAGAGUACAUCAUGAGAAACACUGGGCUGGAUGAAGCACAAGCUGGAAUCAAGACUGCCGGGAGAAAUAUCAAUAACCUCAGAUGUGCAGAUGACACCACCCUUGUGGCAGAAAGUGAAGAAGAACUAAAAAGCCUCUUGAUGAAAGUGAAACAGGAGAGUGAAAAAGUUGGCUUAAAGCUCAACAUUCAGAAAACUAAGAUCAUGGCAUCCGGUCCCACCACUUCAUGGCAAAUAGAUCGGGAAACAGUAGAAACAGUGUCAGACUUUAUUUUUUUAGGCUCCAAAAUCACUGCAGAUGGUGACUGGAGCCAUGAAAUUAAAAGACGCUUACUCCUUGGAAGGAAAGUUAUGACCAACCUAGACAGCAUAUUAAAAAGCAGACACAUUCCUUUAUCAACAAAGGUCCGUCUAGUCAAGGCUAUGGUUUUUCCAGUGGUCAUGUAUGGAUUUGAGAGUUGGACUGUGAAGAAAGCUGAACACUGA
rnacentral:lncRNA from 1 species